UACGAAGGGGGCUAGCGUUGUUCGGAAUUACUGGGCGUAAAGCGCACGUAGGCGGACUACUAAGUCAGGGGUGAAAUCCCGGGGCUCAACCCCGGAACUGCCUUUGAUACUGGUAGUCUCGAGUCCGGAAGAGGUGAGUGGAAUUCCGAGUGUAGAGGUGAAAUUCGUAGAUAUUCGGAGGAACACCAGUGGCGAAGGCGGCUCACUGGUCCGGUACUGACGCUGAGGUGCGAAAGCGUGGGGAGCGAACAGG
rnacentral:rRNA from 1 species